GGAAAACUCGAGAGUAAAUCCCACUCUUACACAUUGUUUAAGCCACCCACUAAAGCAAUACAUCCUCUAAAACCUAAAGGGAAACCCAAGAGUAAAUUCCACUCUCAUUAUUGUUUAAACUACCCCACUGAAGUAAUACAUCCUUUAAAACCUAGAGAAAAAAAUAUCCCAAGACUAAAUCCCACUCUCAAACCGAAGCUUAAAUAUUUCCUGGAGCAAAUACCGUUACUAUCCCUCUCCUGAGCUCUCCCUUAGCUCCUGAGGUUUCUAUCCUUAAAUUAAAGAAUUUCCUCAUAACUAUAACCAAGGAAAACUGGUUUAAGCUUUAAUAUUUCCCU
rnacentral:misc_RNA from 1 species